UAAAGAUGGGUGCUAUCGGAGUGA
rnacentral:siRNA from 1 species